GGGAAGUAACUGACAGCACUUAUUGUAGCUUGACUGUCCUGCAGCCUCCAGCUUGGGACAGGCAGCGAGUUGUUAACCUGCUAAGCAGGUACAGCUGCAAAUACUGUUCACUAACUGAACUAAAGUAUUUUCCAGGCAAGAUGACAGGUUAUUUGGCUUAUAAGUCAUAAAGUGUCCCGAAACAACGGCAACUACCCAAGACAUAGUAGAAGCUCUGCUAGCCCACUGAUGGCUAGUAGUUCUUCAAACACUGAAUUCCGUUGCAGAAAUUCAGAGCUUACCUCAAAGCUGGACAGUGUAUCACAGUGACUGUCAUGAGUCGAUGCAAAGAUUAUCACUGGCUAACUCAAUUCUUCUUCCCUCUGGCCAGAAUGCAUGCCAGUGAAGGAAAAAUUUACUUCCUGAAACCAUGCUGCCUUCAGCAAUUUCAAAUAGCUCUAAAUUAUGUGAAGUAAAAUAAAGGUCUUCAAAUCCAGAAGAAGUUCUCUGCUCACUGUGUGUUUUUUCUCUGAGGAAAUUAUUGCUUUUUAAUCUGCCAUUCAUCUCAUCCACAUAGGAACAAAGUGGAUUUUCAGGUGCAUCACUGGAGAAUUUGAAUGCAACUUAUGAGAAGAACGUUGUGGUGAAUAGAUCCGUAUUAGGUGGGAAUAAUCGAGAUUACUCUCCAGGAGGCCAGCAGCACUCCACUCACGUGCCUAACAGCAUUCACAAUACCACGCUCCCUAAGAAGUGUCUGCUGGCUGCACGUGGGACUCUCCCUUUUCUUUGUAAGGGAAGCCUGCCAUGUCAAAGGUGGACUGGAGUUUAAGAGACUUUCAGACAAAACUCUUUCACUGGAUAUGGGAGGAAUCAGCCUUGGGAGCGCUGCGAUUGCUCAUAAGCACCCUACAGAAGUAUCACUUCUAGAAGCGCCACGCGCUUAAAUAUUGCUGCAUUUAAACAAACAACCCCAAGAUGUGUUCCUUCUCACUUGUAGGU